UACGUAGGGGGCUAGCGUUGUCCGGAAUCAUUGGGCGUAAAGAGCGUGUAGGCGGCCCGGUAAGUCCGCUGUAAAAGUCAAAGGCUCAACCUUUGAAUGUCAGUGGAUACUGCCGGGCUAGAGUCCGGAAGAGGCGAGUGGAACUCCUGGUGUAGCGGUGGAAUGCGCAGAUAUCAGGAAGAACACCAACGGCGAAGGCAGCUCGCUAGGACGGUACUGACGCUGAGGCGCGAAAGCGUGGGGAGCAAACAGG
rnacentral:rRNA from 1 species